UACGGGGGGAGCAAGCGUUGUUCGGAUUUAUUGGGCGUAAAGGGCGCGUAGGCGGCCACCGCAAGUCGACUGUGAAAUCUCCGGGCUUAACUCGGAAAGGUCAGCCGAUACUGCGGGGCUAGAGUGCAGAAGGGGCAACUGGAAUUCUCGGUGUAGCGGUGAAAUGCGUAGAUAUCGAGAGGAACACCUGCGGCGAAGGCGGGUUGCUGGGCUGACACUGACGCUGAUUGUGCGAAAGCUAGGGGAGCGAACGGG
rnacentral:rRNA from 1 species